ACCUUUGGAUGUCAUAGAUUAGAUAAUAAUGUGCUUAACUAUCAUCAACCCAUCAAAUUCUUAGAUGUUAUUAGAUAGAGACCAUGUAAUGUUAAAGAGAAUUAAUUUUUUUAAUUAAAAUUUUAAACGUACAUGGUAGAGCAAAAGUUGAUGUUUUACAGAAGUAAAAUUUAGAAAUACACUUUUAAAAAUUUACUUUCUUUAAAAGGUCAUACAAAUUUAAUGUUUACUUUAUUAUAAGAAUUAUUAGGUUUUUCCAGAAAAGAAAAAAGUUUUGCUAAUUUUAUAAUGGGUUUUGUUCUUUGUUGGGAAGCAAAAGUAUUCUGUUUUGUGUGAGAGUGUGUGUGAGUAUUUGUUUCCCAUCCCUCUGUGUUUGAGGUGUUCCUGUAUGCCUUUAUUUCAUACAAAUGGAUGGAUUUACAUUAUGAAGAACAACUGGGUGCUUGCAUAGCAAGCUAUGUUCACAGAUGUAGAAAGCAGAUUACUGUUGUAAACAUUUCUAGUUGAGACAUUUAUAAGACAGGUUAAGUGCCUUGCAUGGCUUUUUGAAGUUCUUAGUAAAUAUAAUGGAAUUGCUUCAUGUUCUUAUGUAAGAAUGUGUUACAGUGUUGAAAUGAGAUGUUAGGGGUGCACGUGUCUUGAUUCCUGUUGUUAAAAUAUUAGGUGUCAGUUAUUAGGUAAUAAACGCAUUAGCGUUACACAGAUAUUUGGAGAUUUACCCACUGAUAAUGAUAACUCCCCCCCCCCAAAGCCUGUUAAACUGAAAUAUGUUUUCAUUUCCUUAAACUAUUUUCAGAAUUAUUUUUCAAAAUAUGAAGUAGGUUAUCUUUGUACUGUUACAUGAUAGUGUAAUCUCUGGGCCCCAAAUUAGAAUGAAUCUGGUAAAUUACAUUGGUCAUUAGCUAGUAAGUUUAAAGGAAUUUUAUAUAGGAAAUUUUGUUGUUCCAUCAUUUAGUUUAGGUUUGGUUGAUUGACAGUACCUGAUAUAAAAUAAAAGCCACUUAAACAGUGGCCCCACUUUUAGUCAUUAUGGUUGUUGAAUGCCCAUAGUCUAUGGGCCACUGUGGAAAGAGUCUUGGAGGUACUUAUUAUUAAUUAAUGGUAACAUUUGAUCAUGGUUUUUCCUGUAAAUGGGUUUUCUUUUGUUUAAAAGUAAAUGACACAGGUGUGGAGAGGUGGCUUGGCCAUUAAGACCAUUAGCUGCUCUUACAGAGGACCCAGGUUCAAUUGCCAGCACUCACAUGGUAGCUCACAACUGUCUGGAACUUAAGUUCUAGUAAAAGCCUAUGCUCUCUUUUGGCCUCUGCAGGAACAAGGUGUAUAGAGAUAGAUGGAGGUGGGAAAUCACACAUUACUCAAAUACAAUAAUUUAAAAGUGAACAGAGUGUCCUUGUAACUGGUAAAAUCAAGCUAUUAAGCAUCUGUUAAAGACGUAAGUAGUCAAGAAAGAAAGAAUGCAUUUUAUUUUGUAGGCUUGUCUCAGUAGCACUUAAAAAUUGAGAAUAGUAUUCAUAUUCAACCAUUUUGAGAAAAAUAAAGAAUAAGUAUUAUUUUGGAAUGUAAUAUAUUAAUACAGGUUUUAUUAAAUGGAUUCUGUAGUUAAUAAUAUUCUACUAUAAUCUCUAUAGAAUGUAGCUGAAUUAACAAUGACUAACAUGACAUUUAAGAAGAAAAUGGGACUGAGUGUGGUGAUAGUGACACACUCCUGUAACCCCAACACCUGGAAACUAAGACCAGAGCUGGGAGUCCAGGGCAAGGCUACACAGUGAGGCAUGGUCUUUAGGAGAAAGACAUGAUAGUAGAAGACUCUGCACCUUUAUACUAACUAACAUUUAAUUCACCGAGAUUGAGAAGAUUAAAACCUUUCUGAUGAGGAAUGUUCCCUAAAGCACUGCAUGCGGCCUGGGCAUGGUGUCAUGCACUUGCAAGGGCAGUACUGGGGAGACUGAGGCAGAGCAUCUGGGCGUGAGUUACACACUGUAGCUAGAGCCUGCUGUUUCACCCAGAGAGGAGGGAGACAGACAGACAGACAGAGAAAACAGGGGUUAUAGCUUUCAGAAACACCUGAGGUCUGUCAUUUGGUUUCACAUAAGACCAGAAGUGUAUUCCAUGUAUGUAAUUUCUGAUCCGUAGACUAUACCUUUAAUUUUUUAAUGAUCAGAUUUUAAUUUGUUUCCAAAGAAUGGUCUAGAAAAUAUAAUCAUUCAAAAACUAACUGCAGUAUUGAAAUAUAUAUUAAUUAGUUGUCUUCAUGCGGUAAGUUGCUUAUGUUGCUCAGCUAUGAAUCUCGUAUUUUUAUUUAGCAUAUUCAUGGCAUUCUAAAUGUCAUGACUGGAUUUUUUUCCUUAAGAAUUCUAUGUAAGAGUACAUACAGAGUAGUUCAAUAAUAUAAAUGAGAAAUGUUGUGUGUUCCCAUUUUGUUGUUGCUGUAAGAAGACUUGUGUGUAUUCAUUUUAACUGUCAAGACUUGAAAUAAUGUAAUAUAGUUCAUAAUUACCUGUAUUUGGUAAGAUUUCUUUUUUUUUUCCUGCCUAUUUUCAUGUUUUUAUAAAUAUGAAAUUUAAGCUUUGAAUUUUACUAAUACAUCUGUAUAGAUUUUUUUUUAAGUUGAAGCUAAAUAAAAAUUGAAGUUAGUUGCUUCAUUUAUAAAAAAGGUAAAGUUAAGAAACAACAUAUCUGAAAGUGUCUCAAUAAUGAUUUAGGCUCUCUUUUCAGGGCCCAGCACUAGAAGAUUUCAGUCAUUUGCCACCAGAGCAGAGGCGGAAGAAGUUACAGCAGCGCAUUGACGAGCUUAACCGAGGGCUGCAGAAGGAAGCAGACCAAAAGUAGCGUUUCCUUGAGCCCUCCCUCAUUGCUCUCCCUUCUGGAACUAAUGAGUGCUGUGUACACUGACACAGAGUGCUUCCAGAUCGUUGGUUCUGGGCUGGGGAUAAGUCAGUGGGAAAAGUGCUGGCCUAGCAUUCAUGAGGACCCGAGUUCAAUCCUAUCAUUCCCCCAAAUCAUAUAUCCCGAUUGAAACACUUUUUGAAACAUUUGAAAUUUUUUAUUUUUAUUUCAUUAUGUAUGAGUGUUUGAUCUGCAUGUAUAUCUAUGUAUCACCUGCAUGCCUGGUGCCUGUGGAGGCCAGCAGACCCCUGGAACUGGAGUUAGAAAUGGUUGUGAGCUUCCAUGUGGAUGCUGGGAAUAGAACCUGGGUCCUCUGAAAGAUCAGUCAGUGAUUUUAACUUCUGAGUCAUCUCUCCAGCCCGUGACACACCUUUGUUUGUUUGUUUUAGGGAAAAGUAAAAUGACCUAAACUAGAAAACAUUAUGGCUUACAUAUUAGAUAAGUAAAAAUCAAAUGUCAGGGUUUGGUUGGUUGGUUUUUGUUUUUUGUUUUCAUUAUAGCAUUUUGUUAGUCCCUGUUAGAAUUCCACAAAUUUGUAAAAACAAACAAACAAACAAACAAAAAACAAACAGAAACCCAAAUCAUGGUAAUUGGUUGCCAAAAGUAGUUUUGCCUGCACCAACCACCUCGUCUAUUUUAUACACUUUUUAAUGUAUAAAUUGAGUUCAGUAUUGGUUGAGGGAUUAUCAUACACAUCAAGCAUUUUACAUGAAACAUGUCAUUAAAUUCUUCAGAAUAGCCAUCUGAGGUUGCUCUUGCUGUAUAAAUGGAGAGAAGGAACUUGGUUAGAAAUUGUGUAAGUGAAGUAAUAGGAUAAGGGAAAAAGAAUGAGUUAGGAAAAGUCUUAACUACGUGUACCAGUCUGCUGGUAGUGGGGGUCGGGGUCUUAGCAAUUUCAACUAGGUGGUAGCAACUGUUCUAAAGGUCACCGAGCCUCGUAUCUAAGUAGAUCAGAGAUCAGGAGAGGAGGCAAGGAAGUUGUUGUGGAACUAACUUGUAGAUACUGAGAGAGCUAUAAAAUUAAUUG
rnacentral:lncRNA from 1 species